rnacentral:lncRNA from 1 species
GAAAACUCAAUUGACGUAGAUCUAGACAAGCUGGAGCAUGUGGUUUAAUUCAAUGUGAAGCGAAGAUUAGGCCAAUUUGUACAGGUCGCAUAAUCUUUAUGCUCAAAAUACCGAUUUUGCGUAAUUUCUUGGUGAACAUUCACAUUUCAUAGUAUAUAGGUAUCUUUAUAGAUGUUAUAUUUUAGGCACAAGGACAAGGUAAAUCAAAUGGAGAUUAAGUGAUGUACCUGUUGAAAAACGAGCUCAAGUAAUGUUACUUAAAUCGAAUGACUAAUUUAAUUUUGAAAUAUUUUGUGCAUGAAAUGAUUCUUGAAAGAUGAGCAUAAAAAAUGAAUGAGAUCGAUCAUCAUAUAACUAUGUGAGAAACGUGAAAGAAGAUAGAGAAGGCGCCAAAAGAAAGGUAGGCUGACAUUCCCUUUUUAACACUACUUUGAGAUAAAAUACUAUGAAACAACUUUCAAAUCAUUUCAUAUGUAUUAUCUCUCUAGUGGUGGAACGUAAGUAGAGAGGAUAGAAAGCAUAAAGUCAAGUUUUAGUCAUGGCCAAAGAUAAGGUCAUCAACUUAAGCUUUUAAAGCACUUUUGCCGAACCGAAAAAAAGUUUUGGGGGAAAAGGCUAUAUGACUUUUUGGGUGAAAGGUAAGUGUAUGUAUGUAUAUGAUUGGAGCCCAAUGGAUGCAAAAAACACAAAUAAUUGGUAUUGGAAUAUUCUAAAAGUCGAUGAAACACUAAUUGGUGUUGUGCAACUAACUUUUCCCACAAAACAAAUUAAAUCUGUGAUUAAAUCCGGCGGCUAUUUGUGUGCGUUUUUAGCUUUUGAAUUUAGUGCAUAAAAAAAAAAUUUGAUGGACAAAAAUAAAUUAAAGUUGGCAAAAUGAGAAAAUAAAUUUGUGGAAACUUGAGGGGUAAAAAUGUAAUUAAGUUGUGAAAGAAUUACAUUCAAAACUGGACCUCAUAACUUUAUGUCCCUCACAAUGGUCGAAAGAUGUUGAACUUUUGUAUAACAGCGUGAUUCAAACCCCGUCGAUGAUUAAUCUAACGUCAAAUCUAAUAAAAUCUAUUGACAAAAAAAAAAAAUAAAAAAACAAAUUGUCCAAAAUUAGUAUUAGAAAAUUACGGAAAAAAAAAAAAAAAAACUGAAUGGGCCUUAGAUUAAUCUUCUGCGUCUUAAGCUUUUGGAAGAGGCUUUAGAAACAAAGUAGCCCACACCCAAACACACGACCCAGAUCCCCACAUCCACGGCCCAUCUCACUCCU